GACGUAGGGCGCGAGCGUUGUCCGGAUUUAUUGGGCGUAAAGAGCUCGUAGGCGGCUUGUCGCGUCGUUCGUGAAAACCUGCAGCUCAACUGCAGGCUUGCGGUCGAUACGGGCAGGCUAGAGUUCGGUAGGGGAGACUGGAAUUCCCAGUGUAGCGGUGAAAUGCGUAGAUAUUGGGAGGGACACCAGGGGCGAAGGCGGCUCACUGGACCGGUUCUGACGCUGAUGCGCGAAAGCGUGGGGAGCAAACAGG
rnacentral:rRNA from 1 species